rnacentral:misc_RNA from 1 species
UGAUGUGGCAGCCACGUAGAGCUGAAUUGGCAAAGCAGACGUUGCUUUAUAUGCUGAUAACAUGAUGAUGUGUGGUUGCCUUGCCACUGACGUGGCAAGAUGUAAUGCUGGAAUGAGCAUACAGCCCUGUCAAUUUGAGAGCUCAAACUUAACGGAUCUUGACCUAACUCGGCCUGAUCAUAUAGCGAAGACAUCGGAUAGAAGUUCUGACGGCGGGAAUGCAUCGGUUAGCGUUCCGCGAAGCUCCGGGGAGGUGAGGACAGCAGAAUCUGUUGAAUUCACAUCGGGUUGUGAUUCGGCUCGAGAAGUGACCCGAAUGGAUCAAGGCUUCUGGGCCACUCCAGGCGAUCGGACCUGCACCGUUGGAGUCGCCUGGAGGUAUUCUGUGGAUUGGCGAUGCGAUGCUGGGUUUGAUGACCAGACUCACAGGAUAUCUACAACGAAGUAUAGGUAAUUGUAGCUGUGAUAACGAGUACAAUUACCAUAUCAACCAAUAUAUAUAUAGCAGGAUAAGAAAUAAGUUACAAUUUCCUUUUCCCUACUUUUUUCUUGCCAAAAGUUUAUGUAGUUGAGGUGACUAUUUUUGUGUAUCCUUAGAAUGCAACAACCAAAAAUCAAGCAGGUGCUGUGUGAGUGUGAAUUUUGAAUGUAAACUUGCAAGUUGAGCAGUUCAUCAUUCUUGGUAUCUACUGCAACAUAGUUCUGGAUAUAAUUCUGCACAAAUCCUCCAAUGAGACUCUAUGGAUGAUUCAGCUACCAAUUCCACCAGUACAUCACAACAUUUGCAGAAUUCAUCUUUGUGCUUGUCCAUUUAAUUUUUGUUAUUUUUUGUAGCUUUAAAUUUUUGGAUAUGUGUUCAUGGGCUCGAAUUAUGACUCGACUUGAAAGUUUCACAUUGCGACCUGAUUGGGAUAAAAAAAGAGAUCUGUGGUGGUAGCGGAGGGCACGAGCCGAUAGAGUUGUGAGAUAUUCGGGAAAUACACUGGGGUUAGGGGUUGAGAGUUCUAAGUGAUUGUAUCUUGCUCUUUUCA